CGAGUUCUCGUUGAUGAUCGGUGCUUGCACCGAGAUUCAACAUGGAACGAGUGGCGGACGGGUGAGUAACACGUGGGUAACCUGCCCUUAAGUGGGGGAUAACAUUUGGAAACAGAUGCUAAUACCGCAUAGAUCCAAGAACCGCAUGGUUCUUGGCUGAAAGAUGGCGUAAGCUAUCGCUUUUGGAUGGACCCGCGGCGUAUUAGCUAGUUGGUGAGGUAAUGGCUCACCAAGGCGAUGAUACGUAGCCGAACUGAGAGGUUGAUCGGCCACAUUGGGACUGAGACACGGCCCAAACUCCUACGGGAGGCAGCAGUAGGGAAUCUUCCACAAUGGACGCAAGUCUGAUGGAGCAACGCCGCGUGAGUGAAGAAGGCUUUCGGGUCGUAAAACUCUGUUGUUGGAGAAGAAUGGUCGGCAGAGUAACUGUUGUCGGCGUGAC
rnacentral:rRNA from 2 species